CACCAAGGUCACGGCCACCGCACACCCGGGCUCCUCUGGCGGUCAAGGCCUCUGCAGUGGGAGACCCCUGGGCGCAGCAUUGGUGGUGAGAUGGCUUGCUGCCCCUGGAAACAACCCCAGGACCCGGCACCCUGGAUACCUGCCCAGCCUGUCACGUGGACAAUGUCCAACACGGGGGAAACGGUCAACAGCGAGACAGAGCUGAUCUCAACACGAGUUGCCAGGAUUCACGGCUGUCUGCGCCUGCUUUCCAAGCAGUAUUUCUGUGUUACUUCGUCUGAUGUUCUCAACAGUCUCAUCAAGAUACAGUCCCCGGGGCCAGUGGUGUGGUACAGCGGGUGAAGCCGCUGCCUGCAACACCGGCAUCCCACACUGGAGCCCCAGUUCGAGUCCCGGCUGCUCCGCUUCCGAUCCAGCUCCCUGCUAAUGUGCCUGGGAAAGCAGCGGAAGAUG